UACAGAGACUGCAAGCGUUAUUCGGAUUCACUGGGCGUAAAGGGUGCGCAGGCGGCCGAGUGUGUGAGGCGUGAAAGCCCGGGGCUUAACCCCGGAAUUGCACCUCAAACUACACGGCUAGAGCAUUGGAGAGGGUAGCAGAAUUCAUGGUGUAGCAGUGAAAUGCGCAGAUAUCGGGAAGAACACCCGUGGCGAAGGCGGCUCUCUCGGAACGCAACUGACGCUGAGACGCGAAAGCGUGGGGAGCAAACAGG
rnacentral:rRNA from 1 species